rnacentral:rRNA from 1 species
AUUGUGAGCUCGAUGAGUAGGGCGGGACACGUGGUAUCCUGUCUGAAUAUGGGGGGACCAUCCUCCAAGGCUAAAUACUCCUGACUGACCGAUAGUGAACCAGUACCGUGAGGGAAAGGCGAAAAGAACCCCGGCGAGGGGAGUGAAAAAGAACCUGAAACCGUGUACGUACAAGCAGUGGGAGCCUCUUAAUGGGGUGACUGCGUACCUUUUGUAUAAUGGGUCAGCGACUUAUAUUCUGUAGCAAGGUUAACCGAAUAGGGGAGCCGAAGGGAAACCGAGUCUUAACUGGGCGUUAAGUUGCAGGGUAUAGACCCGAAACCCGGUGAUCUAGCCAUGGGCAGGUUGAAGGUUGGGUAACACUAACUGGAGGACCGAACCGACUAAUGUUGAAAAAUUAGCGGAUGACUUGUGGCUGGGGGUGAAAGGCCAAUCAAACCGGGAGAUAGCUGGUUCUCCCCGAAAGCUAUUUAGGUAGCGCCUCGUGAAUUCAUCUCCGGGGGUAGAGCACUGUUUCGGCAAGGGGGUCAUCCCGACUUACCAACCCGAUGCAAACUGCGAAUACCGGAGAAUGUUAUCACGGGAGACACACGGCGGGUGCUAACGUCCGUCGUGAAGAGGGAAACAACCCAGACCGCCAGCUAAGGUCCCAAAGUCAUGGUUAAGUGGGAAACGAUGUGGGAAGGCCCAGACAGCCAGGAUGUUGGCUUAGAAGCAGCCAUCAUUUAAAGAAAGCGUAAUAGCUCACUGGUCGAGUCGGCCUGCGCGGAAGAUGUAACGGGGCUAAACCAUGCACCGAAGCUGCGGCAGCGACACUAUGUGUUGUUGGGUAGGGGAGCGUUCUGUAAGCCUGUGAAGGUGGCCUGUGAGGGUUGCUGGAGGUAUCAGAAGUGCGAAUGCUGACAUAAGUAACGAUAAAGCGGGUGAAAAGCCCGCUCGCCGGAAGACCAAGGGUUCCUGUCCAACGUUAAUCGGGGCAGGGUGAGUCGACCCCUAAGGCGAGGCCGAAAGGCGUAGUCGAUGGGAAACAGGUUAAUAUUCCUGUACUUGGUGUUACUGCGAAGGGGGGACGGAGAAGGCUAUGUUGGCCGGGCGACGGUUGUCCCGGUUUAAGCGUGUAGGCUGGUUUUCCAGGCAAAUCCGGAAAACCAAGGCUGAGGCGUGAUGACGAGGCACUACGGUGCUGAAGUGACAAAUGCCCUGCUUCCAGGAAAAGCCUCUAAGCAUCAGGUAACAUCAAAUCGUACCCCAAACCGACACAGGUGGUCAGGUAGAGAAUACCAAGGCGCUUGAGAGAACUCGGGUGAAGGAACUAGGCAAAAUGGUGCCGUAACUUCGGGAGAAGGCACGCUGAUAUGUAGGUGAAGCGACUUGCUCGUGGAGCUGAAAUCAGUCGAAGAUACCAGCUGGCUGCAACUGUUUAUUAAAAACACAGCACUGUGCAAACACGAAAGUGGACGUAUACGGUGUGACGCCUGCCCGGUGCCGGAAGGUUAAUUGAUGGGGUUAGCGGUAACGCGAAGCUCUUGAUCGAAGCCCCGGUAAACGGCGGCCGUAACUAUAACGGUCCUAAGGUAGCGAAAUUCCUUGUCGGGUAAGUUCCGACCUGCACGAAUGGCGUAAUGAUGGCCAGGCUGUCUCCACCCGAGACUCAGUGAAAUUGAACUCGCUGUGAAGAUGCAGUGUACCCGCGGCAAGACGGAAAGACCCCGUGAACCUUUACUAUAGCUUGACACUGAACAUUGAGCCUUGAUGUGUAGGAUAGGUGGGAGGCUUUGAAGUGUGGACGCCAGUCUGCAUGGAGCCGACCUUGAAAUACCACCCUUUAAUGUUUGAUGUUCUAACGUUGGCCCGUAAUCCGGGUUGCGGACAGUGUCUGGUGGGUAGUUUGACUGGGGCGGUCUCCUCCUAAAGAGUAACGGAGGAGCACGAAGGUUGGCUAAUCCUGGUCGGACAUCAGGAGGUUAGUGCAAUGGCAUAAGCCAGCUUGACUGCGAGCGUGACGGCGCGAGCAGGUGCGAAAGCAGGUCAUAGUGAUCCGGUGGUUCUGAAUGGAAGGGCCAUCGCUCAACGGAUAAAAGGUACUCCGGGGAUAACAGGCUGAUACCGCCCAAGAGUUCAUAUCGACGGCGGUGUUUGGCACCUCGAUGUCGGCUCAUCACAUCCUGGGGCUGAAGUAGGUCCCAAGGGUAUGGCUGUUCGCCAUUUAAAGUGGUACGCGAGCUGGGUUUAGAACGUCGUGAGACAGUUCGGUCCCUAUCUGCCGUGGGCGCUGGAGAACUGAGGGGGGCUGCUCCUAGUACGAGAGGACCGGAGUGGACGCAUCACUGGUGUUCGGGUUGUCAUGCCAAUGGCACUGCCCGGUAGCUAAAUGCGGAAGAGAUAAGUGCUGAAAGCAUCUAAGCACGAAACUUGCCCCGAGAUGAGUUCUCCCUGAGACUUAGAGUCUCCUGAAGGAACGUUGAAGACGACGACGUUGAUAGGCCGGGUGUGUAAGCGCAGCGAUGCGUUGAGCUAACCGGUACUAAUGAACCGUGAGGCUUAACCUUACAACGCCGAAG